rnacentral:rRNA from 1 species
UACGAACUGCGCAAACGUUAUUCGGAAUCACUGGGCUUACAGGGUGCGUAGGCGGCGGAGCAAGUAGGGUGUGAAAUGCCUUGGCUCAACCAAGGCACAGCGCUCUAAACUCCUUCGCUCGAGUGAGUCAGGGGUACGCGGAACUUCCGGUGGAGCGGUGAAAUGUGUUGAUAUCGGAAGGAACACCGGUGGCGAAAGCGGCGUACUGGGGCUCAACUGACGCUGAGGCACGAAAGCCAGGGGAGCGAACGGG